GUGGGGAAUCUUAGACAAUGGGCGCAAGCCUGAUCUAGCCAUGCCGCGUGAGCGAUGAAGGCCUUAGGGUUGUAAAGCUCUUUCGUGGGGGAAGAUAAUGACUGUACCCCAAGAAGAAGCCCCGGCUAACUCCGUGCCAGCAGCCGCGGUAAUACGGAGGGGGCUAGCGUUGUUCGGAAUUACUGGGCGUAAAGUGCACGUAGGCGGACUGGAAAGUCAGGGGUGAAAUCCCGGGGCUCAACCCCGGAACUGCCUUUGAAACUCCCAGUCUUGAGUUCGAGAGAGGUGAGUGGAAUUCCGAGUGUAGAGGUGAAAUUCGUAGAUAUUCGGAGGAACACCAGUGGCGAAGGCGGCUCACUGGCUCGAUACUGACGCUGAGGUGCGAAAGCGUGGGGAGCAAACAGGAUUAGAUACCCCAGUAGUCC
rnacentral:rRNA from 1 species